AACACAGGUCACAUGUAACAUGCAUGUUUGCUUAUCACAUACAGGUGUGACUCCCCUCAUGAAUAUUCAUAGCUCAUCUUGUGGCCUGUUGAAUAUGUAUGUUUAACCAACCAGUUCAGCAUAAUGUUCCUGCCCCAGCCCCUCCUUCUUCAAAGUAUUUUGCUACAAUCUGGGGUUCCCCACAGCAAACUGGUGAAUCGAAAGUUGAUGGUCGGAGUGAGUCGACAGAAAAUGGACCUGUAACUGCUGGGCAGGAAGAUGGAACGGAUACAUAGAACAGGCCCUGUGUCUACAGCCAGUGGAGGCCAACGUGAUGACAAGUCAGAGAGGGUGACCCCAGACUGGGACCAAACUGACAGACCGAGCACGGGUCGGGGACAUCCAGGCAGCCUGCAAACAGUCAGGGCAGGGCCCCUCCCCAGAGGCCAAGAAGUGGAAGGUGCCUCCGCGGAGACCCAGCCCUUCUGCGUCACCACAGGACCUGUGUGAGGCACACUCUACUCCCCUUCUCUCAAGAUACCGCCUCGGACAGAGAGCAAGGGGGAUGAAGGAUAACUGAGAAAGGGAAUAUUUGUAUCUAUGAGAAGACUGAGCAAUAACUAAAGACACUGAUGAGAUUAAGGGAACAUGCUACAAUCUUUAAACCAGAUAGAACUAAUAGUUAAUUUUUUAACUCCCUUUCCACCCCUGUGCCAUUGAACCAAUGGGUGGAGGCUCAUGACGAAGAUCAGAUUAAACUGAGUCAAAAUAAAGAAGAUGCAUUAAUUUGGUGGUAUGUCCUCACUCCUGUUAAACAUUUUACACGAAUUGUGUCAGAUGCCCCCUCUUUUAGCUUCUGUGUGCUUUUGUUCUGAGGCUCAGGCCCUGCUGUGACUUGCUUUGGAAAACUGGGCUCCUGGAGCCUGCAGGCUGCAGACUCUGAAAUUGUUCUGUUGCUUUGUUUCAUCCCCUUCCCAUCCUUUUCCCUCUAUCUCCUGACUGAUUUCCUUAGGGAGCCCCUCCUCAAUAAAUGCCUUGCACACAAAAGCUCAUCUCAAGGUCCAUUUGUGGGUAACCCAGCUAAGAUACCCAUUUUCUCUGCAUUCACAAGCUAUACUAUGACAUAAACCUUUCAAUCUUGCCAUAUCUGCUAUGUGACUGAGCCCUGAAAGUUAUUUGUGUGUGUGGCCCCUAUUCUAGGCAUUCUGCCCUGUUUGUGGGAAGCACUGAGCCAGCUCUGUGGUGGGAGCACCUUGGGGAGGGACAUUUUGAGCAAGGUCAGAAGGACCAGUUAAUGGGCAGGAUCACAGAGGUGGGCCCCUACUUCCUUCCUCCUCGUUUUAGACUCCCCAUCCCCAAACCCCAAUUCCACUAUUAUAUGUUGGACUUCAGUCUGGUCCAGGAGCUUAAUAACAAGGUAAUCUCUGCAGAUAAUCCCUGUGGUUUAGAAAUAACUCUCACAUACACUGUCUCACUUUAUCUCAUGUUUUAAUCUCUGUGGUGAGGGCAAUACUCAUUCCCAUUGACAGACUAUGAAACAGAUGCUUACAGAGUAGAAAUGAUCUGCUCAGUGUUGCACAGUUCAAAAGUAGGAGUCUGUUAAUUCCAAAUAAAACAAAACCAAAAAGCCCACAAACUGUGUUUCCUCUGCUCUCCUAUGACAACAAUCAACACAGGAUACUUCCGU
rnacentral:lncRNA from 10 species